UUUAACUGAAGAGUUUGAUCAUGGCUCAGAUUGAACGCUGGCGGCAGGCUUAACACAUGCAAGUCGAGCGGGGGAAGGUAGCUUGCUACU
rnacentral:rRNA from 1 species